rnacentral:tRNA from 1 species
AUUUAAAUAGCUUAAAUUUUAGAGCGUGACACUGAAGAUGUUAAGGUAGUAUUUGUACUUUUAAAUA